UACAUUCGCAGGCAGAACGGUGCUCAUAAAGAGAAGAGCUCAAAAGGGAAACGGGUGAGAGUCCCGUACAGUCCCGCUGCUGUAAGCCUCUUUCUUGUGUGUCUCAACACGCGUCACUGCAUAAGUUGUAAAAUUUAUUCGGGAAGACGAGGCACAUAGAGGUAAGUCAGAAGACCUGCCGUAUUCGUCGUUGUUGCA
rnacentral:ncRNA from 18 species